rnacentral:rRNA from 1 species
GAUGAACGCUGGCGGCGUGCCUAAUACAUGCAAGUCGAGCGAACGGACGAGAAGCUUGCUUUUCUGAUGUUAGCGGCGGACGGGUGAGUAACACGUGGAUAACCUACCUAUAAGACUGGGAUAACUUCGGGAAACCGGAGCUGAUACCGGCUAAUAUUUUGAACCGCAUGGUUCAAAAGUGAAAGACGGUCUUGCUGUCACUUAUAGAUGGAUCCGCGCUGCAUUAGCUAGUUGGUAAGGUAACGGCUUACCAAGGCAACGAUGCAUAGCCGACCUGAGAGGGUGAUCGGCCACACUGGAACUGAGACACGGUCCAGACUCCUACGGGAGGCAGCAGUAGGGAAUCUUCCGCAAUGGGCGAAAGCCUGACGGAGCAACGCCGCGUGAGUGAUGAAGGUCUUCGGAUCGUAAAACCCUGUUAUUAGGGAAGAACAUAUGUGUAAGUAACUGUGCACAUCUUGACGGUACCUAAUCAGAAAGCCACGGCUAACUUCGUG